CCCACCCUGUGUCCCCAGCUUCUGCCACGUGCACAGGACGUCCUGUUACCUGCUGGGGUCACCAAGGUGAUCUCACUGAGUGGGAAGAACCUACCUGUGCCACAGGCUGGCCAAGGUGAUUAUCAGUGUAAGAUAGGCACUAACACAGUCCCAGCUAUCAGACAGAAUGAUAGUGCCAUAGACUGCCAGAGCCACGCUUAUGUGUAUACAGCCAUCACAGGCCAGGAGAGACAUGAAAUCCAAGUAAUCUGGAAUA
rnacentral:lncRNA from 1 species